rnacentral:rRNA from 1 species
GAUGAACGCUGGCGGCGUGCCUAAUACAUGCAAGUCGAGCGAACGGACGAGAAGCUUGCUUCUCUGAUGUUAGCGGCGGACGGGGGAGUAACACGUGGAUAACCUACCUAUAAGACUGGGAUAACUUCGGGAAACCGUAGCUAAUACCGGAUAAUAUUUUGAACCGCAUGGUUCAAAAGUGAAAGACGGUCUUGCUGUCACUUAUAGAUGGAUCCGCGCUGCAUUAGCUAGUUGGUAAGGUAACGGCUUACCAAGGCAACGAUGCAUAGCCGACCUGAGAGGGUGAUCGGCCACACUGGAACUGAGACACGGUCCAGACUCCUACGGGAGGCAGCAGUAGGGAAUCUUCCGCAAUGGGCGAAAGCCUGACGGAGCAACGCCGCGUGAGUGAUGAAGGUCUUCGGAUCGUAAACCUCUGUUAUUAGGGAAGAACAUAUGUGUAAGUAACUGUGAACAUCUUGACGGUACCUAAUCAGAAAGCCACGGCUAACUACGUG